GGCCCUUCUGGCCCAAUGCCAAACAGGCUCGGCUAACGGGCCCGGUGCCGAGCUCUAUGACCUUAACAGGGGGGGCGGGCGGCAGGUUCCGCUCUGAAGGCGGAGAUUUGGGACGGUGCUUAUCUGCUGCAUGGCGUUGGGAGCCGCUCUUCUGUCUUCUCCCUUCCUGAGAUGAUGGGUACGGUGAGACUCGAGGUCUUCCCUCCUCCUCCUCCUCCUCCUGCCCACCUCUUCUCCACUCGCUCUAAGGCCACCGCCGUCUUCACGCACUCUUCUUACCCUUCUCCCUCCUUGCUUCCUGCCGCACUCUUUCUUCACUUCAGAAGAAGAUCUUCUUCUUUCUCCUCUUUGUAUAAGGCCACACCAUCCACCUCCGAAUCAUUAGAUAGCAUCUUCCUUCCCUUUCUUCAGUCCCAAGAAGAAGAAGAAGAAGAAGAAGAAGAAGAAGAAGAAGAAGAAGAAGAAGAAGAAGAAAGGAGUGAGGUGGAGGAAGGAACUGAUGCUGUGGAUGCAAUUCACCGUUUCUUCAAAUCUCGUGUCGCCACAGAAGAUCCUCCACGAGAAGGAAGGGUCCGUCUCAAGAAGAACCGGCGGCUCGCUUGGCACAUUGAGGAUUUCGGUGACGAAGGCAGCGACGAUGAACUUCUAUCUGUGAUUGCCGGAGAAGAUGAUUCUUCCAAUCAGGGAAUCACUAAUCAAAGCGCACGAAAGGGUGAAGCUGAUGAAGACGAAGAGAAAGAGGAAGAUGAUGAAGGAGGAGGAGGAGGAGAGACAGAAGGAGAAAGAGGACUUUCUAGGGAAAUCCUAAGGAUUGCCGAGUCUAUGCCGCCGAACGCCACCUUGGGAGACUAUCUGAGACCGUACGAAGGGAGGAUUGAUGCCAUGGAAUGCGUCUUGGUGCUGCGAGCGCUCACAAAAGAAGGGCUAGUCAUGCCCGCUCUGUAUUUCUUGGAAUGGUUGGGUCUACAGGGGCCGGAAUUGGUGUCUCCCCGAGCUUACUCCCUUCUCUUUACGGCCUUGGGCAAAGCAGGAAUGGGUGACCGCAUCAUGGUCCUCUUCAAUAAUAUGCCCAAAUGGGGACGGUUUCGCGAUCUUCAUCUCUACAAUUCCAUCAUCUCUGCUCUAUCAUGUUGCCGAAGGUACCAGGAUGCCUGGGAUAUCUACGAACAGAUGGAGGAGAGAAAUAUUCAGCCGGACCAUGUGACUUGUUCAAUUCUACUUACUGUAUUGAGGAAAGAUGGUUGCGAUGCAAGAGAUGUUUGGCGGUUCUUUGAGACAAUUAGUAGAAAGGGAGUAAAAGCAAGUGCAGAGGUUCUAGGUGCUCUUGUCAAAUCUUUCUGUGACAAGGGUUUGGUGAAAGAAGCCCUCAUCAUACAAUCUGAAAUGGAGAAGCAAGGGAUCUAUGCUAAUGUUAUAGUGUAUAACACCUUGAUGGAUGCUUAUAGCAAAUUAAACCAGAUUGAAGAGGCUGAAGGCCUCUUCCUUGAGAUGAAAGAAAAAGGCUUGAAUCCUACAACUGCUACAUAUAAUAUUCUGAUGGAUGCAUACGGCAGAAGAAUGCAGCCUGACAUUGUCGAAGAUUUGCUGUUGGAGAUGCAAGAUUUAGGUUUAAAACCAGAUGUUAAAUCCUUCACCUCUUUGAUAAGUGCAUAUGGGAGGAAAAGAAAAAUGAGUGAUCUUGCGGCAGAUGCUUUCUUGAGAAUGAGAAAGACUGGGGUUUCACCUACUUCUCAUUCUUAUACUGCAUUAGUUCAUGCAUAUUCUAUAGACGGAUGGCAUGAGAAAGCACUGAAGGCAUUUGAUGACAUGAAGCGUGAAGGAAUAAAACCAUCCGUAGAAACAUACACUGCUCUGCUUGAUGCAUUCAGACGAGCUGGGGACACCAAGACACUGUUAGGAAUCUGGAAGACAAUGAUCGAUGAUAAGAUAAAGGGCACAAGGGUGACUUUCAACAUUCUCCUUGAUGGUCUUGCUAAACAGGGGCACUAUGCUGAAGCAAGAGAUGUGAUACAUGAAUUUGGGAAGAUUGGUCUAACUCCAACUGUAAUGACAUAUAAUAUGUUGAUGAAUGCCUACGCACGUGGAGGUCAACAUUCAAAGUUGCCUCAACUUCUGAAAGAAAUGGCAGUCUUGAACCUAAAGCCUGAUUCAGUCACUUAUUCAACCAUGAUAUAUGCCUAUGUUCGUGUUCGGGAUUUCAAAAGGGCAUUUUACUAUCACAAGCAAAUGGUGAAGAACCGACAAAUUCCUGAUGCUAGGUCCUAUGAGAAGCUAAGGUCUAUUCUUGAUGUGAAAGCUGCAGUAAAGAACAAGAGAGAUAGAAGUGCUAUAAUGGGUAUAGUCCAUAGCAGCAUGGGCUUGUCAAAGCCCAGAAGGACUAAAAAGGACGAGUUCUGGAAAAAUAAAAGAAAAAGAUCCGUGACAAACAAAAGCUAAAUUUUCUAAUGCUCGCCUUUUCAUACUUGAAUUCUUUGACCUUAAGUGCAGUAGAAAGGCUCCGUUAUUUUCCUGCCAGAAGAAACCCAGUAAGACCAUAUGAACAGCUCAUCACUGCUGCUGUAUAGGGGAGAUCUUUUGCCAGCAGAAACGUGAUCCUUCUGAGUAGUGAGUGGUACUCAAUUGACACUAUGUACAUGGCAAGAACUCUCCUCGUCCGGUACAGAAAGGAGGAUUUUUUGUAGUAUAGUUAAUUAUGGCAUCUAAGAGGCAUGCGUUUCAGAAAAACGGCAACUCUAUUUGCAAGGUCUUGUAGAUGAAGUUUUCUGUUGAUGGGCAGGAUAGCAGGAUUUAGUCAUUGUUUCUGCAGCUUGUUGCUCAAUAACCAUCGCGUGACUCAGAAGUGAAGCUCAUUUUUUGUAGUUAAUAACAAGUAUGUCCCUGUAAAUGUACUCCACAGGAAGAUAAAAUGCUUCUUGCUCCCACUGUCACUGAAUGUUGAUCCUUUGUCCCCUUGCUCAACAGAAAAAACAUGUUUAGGAAAAUUUCCCAUUCAGGUUGCGCAGGAUCUUCCAUUAAUUCUCUGUAUCCACACUAAUGACUUUUCUUACGCAUAACAAAGCGGAGUAGAAGCUCA